rnacentral:rRNA from 1 species
GACGAACGCUGGCGGCGUGCAUAAUACAUGCAAGUCGAGCGGACCGAACAGGAGCUUGCUCUUGUUCGGUUAGCGGCGGACGGGUGAGUAACACGUGGGUAACCUGCCCGUAAGACCGGGAUAACUCCGGGAAACCGGAGCUAAUACCGGAUAACACCGAAGACCGCAUGGUCUUUGGUUGAAAGGCGGCUUCGGCUGCCACUUACGGAUGGGCCCGCGGCGCAUUAGCUAGUUGGUGAGGUAACGGCUCACCAAGGCGACGAUGCGUAGCCGGCCUGAGAGGGUGACCGGCCACACUGGGACUGAGACACGGCCCAGACUCCUACGGGAGGCAGCAGUAGGGAAUCUUCCGCAAUGGACGAAAGUCUGACGGAGCGACGCCGCGUGAGCGAAGAAGGUCUUCGGAUCGUAAAGCUCUGUUGUUAGGGAAGAAGAAGCGUCGUUCGAACAGGGCGGCGCGGUGACGGUACCUAACGAGAAAGCCCCGGCUAACUACGUG